rnacentral:rRNA from 1 species
AUUGAACGCUGGCGGCAGGCCUAACACAUGCAAGUCGAACGAGUGGCGGACGGGUGAGUAAUGUCUGGGAAACUGCCUGAUGGAGGGGGAUAACUACUGGAAACGGUAGCUAAUACCGCAUACCAUCGGAUGUGCCCAGAUGGGAUUAGCUAGUAGGUGGGGUAGCGGCUCACCUCGGCGACGAUCCCUAGCUGGUCUGAGAGGAUGACCAGCCACACUGGAACUGAGAAACGGUUCAGACUCCUACGGGAGGCAGCAGGGGGGAAUAUUGCACAAUGGGCGCAAGCCUGAUGCAGCAAUGACGCGUGUAUGAAGAAGGCCGUCGGGUUGUAAAGUACUUUCAGCGGGGAGGCGUGACCCGCAGAAGAAGCAACGGCUAACUCCGUGCCAGCAGCCGCGGUAAGUC